UACCUUUUUCUAAACUGCCUUAGGUUACAGGUAGAAUUCAUUUUCUGGAGGCUUUAGGGAUGGGACUCCAGUUUCUUGCUGGAAGCUAUUUUCAGUUCCUAGUGAUUUGAAUCUGAAAUGUCCUUUCCAUGUUUUGAAUGUUUAUUCUCCAGUUUGUGGUGCUAUUUUUGGAAGCUGUGGAGGUCAGGCCUAACUAAUAAAAAUGGUUCACUAGGAAUGAGCCUUUUGAAGUUAUAAUCUGUCUCUUAACUCUGGCCUCCCUAGGUGUUUCCUGGGGCCUCUGUGAUGUGACCAGCAUGAGUCAAAACAAAUCUCUCUGUCCCUCAUAUUGUUUCUACUAGGCAUCAUAGUUAGAGAGAAGCAAAAGGAACUAACACGGUUCUUUGAGAGUUCACUUUCCCCUGCCUGGACUCCUACUUCACCGUAGUUUGUAUCUUCCAGCCAGUGAAAACUGACAGUGACUCUAACAAGUCUACAACAAACAUGGAAUCUUACCUGCCGUGGCGACCAGUCUCUUCUCAGGAGACUAUUCCAUCUCUUCUGUCACAUUCUGUUGCUAAGGAGCCAAGUGCUUGAUGCAGCCCUGGUUUAGAGGAAUGAGUUGUCCAGCUUUUCUCUCGUUGAAGUUAUUAUUCAAGGCUUUCCUCUUUUCCUUCCCGGUGUUUUCCAUGGACCCGCUCUGUGUGUGAGUGUCUGUGGGAAUUAAACAGAAGCAACAGAGGCAACGAAACACACUGAUUACCAAGUAAAAUGGUUCCCCUGGCAACCACAGCCCAAUGAAAGCCCUUAGAACUGCCUUCUUUGCUCAGAUGGUUUUUUCCCAGUGAUUUCAGGCAUCACAGAUGGCAGAAGCAGACACAAAGCUACCUGCUCCAACUGUGUUGCUACAGAAAUAAAGCUGAUUCAGUGA